UACGUAGGGCGCAAGCGUUGUCCGGAAUUAUUGGGCGUAAAGAGCUCGUAGGCGGCUUGUCACGUCGGGUGUGAAAGCCCGGGGCUUAACCCCGGGUCUGCAUUCGAUACGGGCAGGCUAGAGUGUGGUAGGGGAGAUCGGAAUUCCUGGUGUAGCGGUGAAAUGCGCAGAUAUCAGGAGGAACACCGGUGGCGAAGGCGGAUCUCUGGGCCAUUACUGACGCUGAGGCACGAAGGUCAGGGGAGCAAACGGG
rnacentral:rRNA from 1 species